rnacentral:tRNA from 1 species
GGCGCAGUGGCUUAGCAAGGAAAGCCCCUGCCUUCAGUGCAGGCAUCCCUUAUAGGCGCUGGUUCAAGUCUGGCUGCUCCA